rnacentral:tRNA from 2 species
CCGUAGCUCAGCUGGAUAGAGCGCUGCCCUCCGAAGGCAGAGGCCACAGGUUCGAAUCCUGUCGGGUG